CCCAUUCGCCUUCCCGUUCGUUCUCAUGGCUUCUGGAGUCUUCUAGAUGACAGAAAAUUGCACGGCACGUUAAUAUCUCUAUGUAAACCCGACGUGUGGGCCUUUCUUCCGUAUUUCCUGAUAACCCCCUGCAGAAAUAGACAAACGCCAAAACUUAUGGAAUUCUGUCAGAUGAAACCCUAAGUCUGGUGUUGGUUGCAUUUGGAUCCUUUUUUUAUUUAUUUGAUGAUUAUAUUUGGUACUUAAGGACCGUCAACAACUCCCCCAAGCUUACCUCUUGCUUGUCCCUAAGCAAGGAUGGACUUAAGAGUUUCUGCAGUGGUUUCAUGCCUUAAAAGUAAGAUCUCAUCUCUGAGUUAGAGUAAACUUGUUUAGACUUAAAACUUACUCAUUUUACCUUUCACCAUGGGGCUUGUAACCAUCACUUGUGUCUUGAGUAGUUAAAAGAUAGAACGGUCAAGUCAAGCGCCUUGUCUCUUAUUCUUGAUCAGCUAUAGCUCUGGAGUUUUUGCAGAUUUUCAAAUAAAACUCAGAGAUUCCUUAUAUGAUUCUCUCAAAUCUCUCUUUUGUGGUAUUUCUGGAUCCUUUCUAAGGCAGUAAUGUUAUAUGCCUUCUCUCAAAGUAUGUGGUAUUUUUGGUAUAAGGCAUAGUGAUAUUGCCUUCUCUCUCACCCUACUCUAAUAAGGUUUUGAUAUCUGGAGCUCAUAGGUGGGAGACAGAUAAUACAUACUUACAAGACAUUUAUUGCAUAGUCAAACCAUGGAUCCAGAAGAACAAGUCAAUAAGUCAAAUCAAGAUAUGCAUGUGUGGCGAGUGAAUGGUGUAUGGUGAUGAUGGUGAUAACAAUGGUGAAAGUCUAAUUCUACUUUUGCUCUUUUAAGGGGAUACAUACCUUUCUUGCACUUUGAAGCUUUUUGAGGAGAAUGAGAUGCUCUAUAUUUUUUCUUUUCUCUCAGGUGGGUAUCUUGUACCCCUAAUUCUACUGUCAGACACUUGUCCAUUUUUACCUCUCGUCUCACUUUUUCUUUUCUUUCGAGGUUGCGGGCACUUGCCCCUUUUUAUUUCCUCGUAUUUUUUUUUCUCUUUUUUUAGAGAGCACUCAUCUUCUGAAAUAAUAUAGCAAGUGGUAGUAACCAAGAUAACUCGAGCAUUUAUUUCAUAGGGAAAAACAGAAAUGUUUUUGGCUAUUCUCUCGUGGAUUAGGAGUAGAAUACUUUUAGGUGAAUAUGGAGAUGGAAUUGAGUGGAUGUAUGUGGAUGCGUACUUCUGGAGUAGAAGCAGCAUGUAUGAGUGAACGUGCAAGUGAAUCUUGAUUUUAACCGCAUGACAAGCUCCUAAGGGUCUACACAGCUUGACCACACUCAAUGCUCAUAAGUAGUAAGAAGUAAAUGUGUGGCUCAAAGUCUAGCAAGCAUGUAUAUAUGGCUGUGGUAGGAAUUUAAACUCUCAUCAUAUAGGAACUCAUCAUGUGUUAUUUUAAAGAUUUUCACAGAUAAAAUUCUCCAGAAUUCUAGCAUCUCUAGGAACAGAUAAACAGCAGCUCAACCUUCCCAUAUCAUAUCCGUUAACGACUUAGACUUCAGAUGAAGUACUCUUCCCACAAGUUCAGGUUUAGAGCAGGUUUAAAUUAAAACAGUUAUACCUAAACUUGAGAGAGAGCUCAAACUUGAAAACUAGGUACAUGGCAAAGCAACUUUUUAUCAUUUUCAUGUGAGAGCUUAUCAUGAGGGUUCAUAGCAAACUUUAUUUAUUUAUUUACUUAGCAAACUAAGCAAAGAUAUAAGCACAAAAUUUUUAUUUAGGUUUUCAUGAUUAUGCAUCUUUUUAUUAUUUGAGUAAAGUAUAAACGCGAUUAGAAACACUUAGCUCGAUAAAUGGGGGUGCUCUCCCCCAAGCUGGAUUUUGACGUAAUUUCUUCUGAUGUAGCUAGCAGGUGGUGGAGGUGUAUUUGAAUAUCGGCAGCACCCUGACAGCGAUUAGGAUGUCCUUCGUCUGCUAGUCUUCUUUAAUCCUUGAAUUCUAUGGAGCUCAAAUAGACAACAAAGCUUAGUGGAACUAGUUAAGUGUUAGCAUAAAUAUCUAGCCUUUAUCAUGUUGAGCCUCCUCAAUAAAUGUUACUCUCUUUAUUAGGAUCAUAAAUUUAUUUUUAUAUUUUUAUUUUUAUAGGACAGGAAUAUAUUUAUUUUAUUUUUAUGCCACCACAAUGAAUGUACUUAUGUAUUUUAUGCCAUAAGCAUACUCACAUGGGGCUUACUAUUUUUAACAUUUUUAUUUUCUUUUCGAGAUAGUAUGAACCCGAUUAACUAAAGAAGCUAUUUAAGGAAAAUAAUUAAUUGAAGGGAAAAAGAUAACUACCAAGUUUACCUCUUGGCAAGGUGUUCGGUGUUUUUAAGUCCUCCGAACGGGACUCUCCGUUUUCUCAGUCGUCCAGGGAUUCGCUGGAUGGCGUAGUCGGUGGUUCCGGCGACGCCUCUUCUUCAUGUAUAACUAUCUUCUCUUUCCACACCUGACUCGGUGCUACGGUCUCCUCUGGACAAUCCUGUUCAAGCUGUAUGACUUCAGACCUUACCACUUCUCCUUUGUAGUCUGCCCAUCCGUCCUUGAUGAUUUGCCUCCUCUGGUUGCAGUUGCGUCGUCUUCUUCUUGUCCUGACCUGCUUAGAGUCUUCAACUAUAUAUUAGGGUUAGUAAAAUAGCGGCGUACCUUCUCAGAGGGGAAGUGCAUGUGGACUUCUCUGGUUCCAGUGUAGAUGAUUGCUUUAACGGUGCUGAGGAACGGUCUCUCAAGGAUGAUGGGUGGAUCAUACUCGUCUUCUCCCAUGUCAAUGACUAGAAAAUCAUCUGGAGAUGUAUGUUGGUUGUAGGGGCAUGGUUCCAUGCAGGAGCUGAUAAGUGACUGCGGUCAUUAUGUUGACGUCAGAUCCGGUGUCGUAGAGUGUCUUCUGAAAAGAGUAUCCGUUGAUUGUGCACUUGGUGCUUGGAACACCAGGGUCGUCCGUGUUCAUCCUUUAGGUGCAUCAUUUGAUUAGGUGUGGACCUUGACAUCUGCACCUCUUGAUAUGGAGUCACCCAUGUUCUUUGUUUGCUCGGCAGUUCAAAGUGCGGUGUUGGCAAUAUCCUGCUCAGUGUGUUUGUGCUCGUAGAUCCAGGUCCUUUACUUGGUGGAGUCUGAGAGUUGUAAAACUCCUCCAUGUUUUGUUUGAAGUGUACCUGUUCAUAGAGACAAUGCAGAGAUCAAGUGCAUGGGCCCUAUUGGUGGAAAACACCAACAGAACCAAAAGUGUAUUUGUUCUUCUCUAACCUUAAGCAUAGUGAGCAAGACAAAGUUGAUGGAUCAUGAGUGUAGCAUUUGUCAGAUCAGAUGGCUCAACCUAAUGGAAAGAUAAUUUAUCUAUAUUUAUAUUUUGUUUAUCUUCCAAAGAUUGAAUGUGCAAAAUAUUAAUUUAUAUGAUUAGGAGUGUGGGAUCACGAAGGUAGUACUAAGAACAAAGAUUAAAGGACUAAACAUGUUGAAUUAAUUGGAUUGGUUAAUUUCGAGCUACAAAUCAUACAUGUUUGUCUCUUUUAUUCAUGUGUAUGCCAGAACCGAGGAGAAGCUUAUAAAAGUGAUAGUCAAGUACCUUAAGGUGUUACCUUACUUGAAGAGUGAUGGUAUAGUAUCACCUUGUGGAAGCUUUCCUUUCUUAGCGGUUGUGCAUCGUGUUUGUGGCACCCUCCAUGGAUCUUCUCUUUAUGAUGAAUGAGCUAUGUCCUUCUUGUGCAAAUUGUUAAACUUCAUGUGUCUCCUUUAUCUCCAAUGUGAGUUUGUAUCUUAGGACUUCCCAGGUUGAUAUUGAAAGUUUUCCUGCAGGGGUUAGUCCAACAAAAUAUCCCAUAUCUACUAUAGCAUACUAUCGGCUCAAAAAUCAACCUAGACACCAUGUCUAAUUUGAUUUAGGAGGGCAUUUUAACCUAAGCACCAUGCUUAAUUUAAAAAUCCUUUGGAAGUAAGAUCAUCAUUCCUAAACUAAGCACCAUGCUUAAUUAAGAGAUAAAUGAAACUACUCCAAACCUAGACAUAUACUAAAGCAAAUAAAGGUAGCAUGAGAACAUUUAUAGAGAUCUACUCAAGUGGAGGUGAAGUAGUGUAAUUAGUAUUUAACAAAUUGAGCAUGUCUCAAAGGUAAGGACAACCAACAUAGCAACAUGGCAAAUGAUGUUUUUAUGUAAAGUACUCCCCCAAGCUUGAAUUUUGUAAAAUUCAAGUUUGGAUGAAUUUAAUUCAAUGUUGCAUGAUGGUUGGUUGGACAUACCUUGUGCUUGUCAUUCAUCUGAUCUUCUUGCUCCAAUCCUGGAAAGGUUAGUGGCAAGAAUAUCCGAAGGAAUAUUUCUACAAUUAUCUUUAUAUGCGCAAUACACAAGGCAAUGUUGCAAAUAAUUAGAAGUUCAUGUUAUGAUCUGAUAAGUGCUUGUUUUAGGACACUAAGCUUGUCCUUGGGAAACCAUCAAUCAACUCAACGAGAUCUGCAAUAUUUAUUAUAGACAUAUGCAUUGACAACCGCUCUUUUAAAGUUUUUAUAAAUAGAAAGAAAGAGGGGGUUGGAGAUCUUAAAUGUGGUAAGGUUGGAGAGACCAAUUGAUUGGGGAGAUGUUAUAUAUGAGAAAGGACUUGGUGAGGUAUUUAUGAAAUAACUUCCGUGCUCACUGUUGUUUCUCUCAUUCUCAAACUCCAAGGAUGAUUCGUCAUGAAUGCUUAAAGUUCCUCUAGGAUUGUCUGUCAAGUUUGUUUUAUCUAUCCAUUCAAUGGUGAUAGCACAUGGAUUUUUAAUGCCCUCUAGCCAUUGAUGUUGCUCUUCUCGAUCCUUCUUGUGUUCUUGGUGACUCUUAUGCAUGGGAUGUCUAGAGAGAUUCAUAGGAUUAUCGGGAGGUUCAAGAGAAAGAGCAUAGUAGAAAUUAUUAAGCUCAAGGAUGGGAUGGAUAGCCGAAUCAUGGGAUCGAAAUGUUUGGAAAUUGGCUAUUUAAACUUCCUUUCCUUGUCUGGGAGAUGAUUCCUUCUCUAUCUCUAAGAUUUUUCUAUGAAGACUAGUACAAGAAGGAUGUCCUCGAAUGAAGACAUACCUUGCUUUACUAACAGAUAAAGAAAGAAAAACUCUACCAAAGGUUAUAUGAUUAAGACCAAUGUGAAAAUAUCGAGAAAAAACAUGGUCUUGUAGGGCUAGGUUUAAACCAGAAUUUAUAGAAAGAUUAACAGAUUUCCCUAGGUGUAGCUAAAAGUUCAUUAUCUUCUUGAUUAAAAGAUAGAACCUCAGCUAUAGAAAAGGGUUAGUUUUGACCUAUUGCAAUCAACUCCGGACACAGAUCAUAAUUAGGGGCAGGACUUGUUGACUCCCAUGGUCUAUGGCUGGUCUCCGAAGGUGCAAAGAAUUCAAUAAUAGGUAUGGAAUUUGAGUUAUCCAUAAAGAUGGAAAAAAAUAAAAAUAUAAAAGAAUAAAAGUAUAAAGUAAAUUACAAGAUAAUAGCAAGACUUAAAGUUAUCUCAGCAAACCGUCUUUCUCCCCGACAACGACGCCAAAAAUGCCUAUUGAUAUUUGGUAACACUAUGAGGAAAUGAUACGCAAGUGCACGGAUAUCGGUGAGCAUUUCACCCGGGAGGUUAUCCAGAGUAUCAUAUUUAUAUUUUUACCACUGGGAGAAAUCGUGCAUCUGACUAACCAAAUCUAUUGCUACUACCCUUUAGGCUACAAAGAAUGUUUCUCGAUGUGAGCGAUGUAUAGAGAAGACUGCAACCGUAGUCUUGUUCUAACCUUGGUAAGGAUGAUCUACUGUUCUAUUGGGGAAGCUUACGGAAUCUAGACACCACAAAGUAUGUUCGACCCGCACCUAUAAACCCUAUCCUUCCUGCUAACGAGAUAUGGGCUUCAAAGGUAACUCGGAAAUGUCACGUUCCUCGCUACUACCACGGUCCAGCUAGUCAGGGGAUAUCUAUGAGUACCCUAGCCCAAACACCACGUUUACGCUAGCAAUGAUUACUCUAAACUCAACCGGAAGAGAUUAAAGUAAACUCAUAAACCAAAGAACAAUAAAACAAGAACUUACUAGAAUUUAGAAGUCGAAUUACUGAAGAAUCCUAGGAGCAAGCCUCGGGUUAGGAGACUUGCUCCCGCAGGUACAACCUCGGAGUAGACACCGACAGGCCGGGCUUCCUCCGAUCUACACCUCCACUCUAUCUCUCUCAAUCUAGUAGAAACUAGAAGAUCUAAUUCUACUCACAUUGGAUGCUAAGCCUAAAAGAAAUUUUAUUUAGAGGAGAGGUAUUCCUUCGAGGCCACCUCUCAACUCUAUGAUGAACUUGUCUCCUCCAGGGCCCAGGGGGUCUGGUUUUAUAGUCCCCUCAGGUGAAUAUGGGCCGUCAGAUCAAACCGACAUUGAUUGAACGGUUAUCCUUGGUCCUUUAGGUCUGUGGAGCGUAAUCCCCAAAGAGAGUCCUGAUUGGACUCUGGGACAGGGCGGGCGCCCUGCCCCCGGGCCCGUUCGUUCCCAUGGCUUCUCGAGUCUUCUAAAUGACAGAAAAUUGCGCGGCACGUUAAUAUCUCUAUGUAAACCCGACGUGUGGGCCUUUCUUCCGUAUUUCCUGAUAACCCCCUGCAGAAAUAGACAAACACCAAAACAUGUGGAAUUCUGUCAGAUAAAACCCUAAGUUUGGGUGUUGGUUGCAUUUGGAUCCUUUUAUUUAUUUAUUUGAUGAUUAUAUUUGGUACUUAAGGACCGUCAACAAUGACCAAGAUAUUAGUUGACGGUGGGGCUGCUAUCAAUAUUAUGCCAUAUGUAGUCUAUCGGAAGCUUGGGAAAGGAGAUCAAGAUUUGACCAAGACCGAUAUGAUGCUAAAAGACUUCGAGGGGAAUGUGUCUCCGGUUAAGGGGGCAAUAUGCGUCGAGUUGACCAUCGGCAGCAAAACCUUGCCGACAACUUUCUUCGUGAUCAGUGGAAAGGGUGCUUACAAUCUAUUGUUGGGGAGAGAUUGGAUCCAUGCCAAUUGUUCCAUCCCGUCUACAAUGCACCAAUGUUUGGUUCAGUGGGUAGGUGAUAAGAUUGAGAUUGUCCCGAGAGAUUCUUCAUACGUCAUUCCAUCGGCAGAGGCAGAUACUUAUGAAAGGACCAGGUGCAUCUCGGGAGAAAUUUGGGAAAAGGAUUUCCUCAAGGUUGGCGAUUAUGAAAUUCCACCGAUCCAAGCAGUCGGUUCUGAUGAGGAGUUUUAAUGGAUAGGUUCGCCGAUGAUGGAAAAUUAGGCCAGGGGUUUACAUCGGCCGAUGAUUUAGUAGAGGUAGAUAUAGGUAAUGGAGAUAAGCCAAGGCCUACUUUUAUUAGUGCUAAGUUAAAUCUGAGUGUAAGCAACAGUUAAUCGAUUUGUUAAAGGAAUAUAAAGAUUGCUUUGCUUGGGACUAUACUGAGAUGCCUGGUUUAGACCGAUCCAUUGUUGAACAUAGGUUGCUUAUCAAAUCUGGAUUUCGGCCACAUCAGCAGCCGGCUCGCCGAUGUAAUCCUAAUAUCCUUCCUGAUAUUAAGGCCGAAAUAACUAUACUUAUUGAAGCUAAAUUUAUUCUGCAGUGUCGGUAUGCCGAGUGGAUUUCCAAUAUUGUUCCAGUUUACAAGAAAAAUGGGAAGCUUCGAGUCCGCAUUGAUUUCAGAAAUCUUAACAAGGCUAUGCCGAUGGAUGGCUACCCAAUGCUAGUUGCCGAUUUGCUAGUUGAUGCUGCAGCUGGACAUUGGAUUAUUAGCUUCAUGAAUGGCAAUGCAGGAUAUAAUCAGAUAUUCAUGGCUGAAGAAGAUAUUCCAAAGACCGCAUUUAGAUGUCCUGGUCAUGUUGGGUUGUUUGAAUGGAUAGUCAUGACCUUUGGCUUGAAAAAUGCUGGUGCUACUUAUCAAAGGGCUAUGAAUUUUAUCUUUCAUGAGUUCAUCGGCAAGCUGGUAGAAAUUUACAUUGAUGAUGUGGUGGUUAAGUCUGGAGAUUUCACAAAGCAUCUUGCCGAUUUACGAAAGGUGUUGGAGUGUACAAGGAAACAUGGUUUAAAAAUGAAUCCUAAUAAGUGUGCAUUUGGCGUAUCGGCAGGACAAUUUCUUGGUUUCAUGGUGCAUCAGUGAGGAAUUGAAAUUAGUAGGAGAUCUAUUGAUGCCAUCAACAAGAUAGCAGCUCCUACUAACAAAACUGAACUCUAGUCUUUGAUCGGCAAAGUAAAUUUUAUCAGGCGGUUUAUAUCUAAUUUGUCUGGUAGAAUUCGUGCUUUUAGCCCUUUGCUUAAAUUGAAAGCCGAUCAAGAGUUUGUAUGGGGAAAAGAGCAACAAUUAGCCUUGGAUGAAAUCAAGAAUUAUUUGACAAAUCCUCCAGUUCUGAUCCCACCUCAGCAAGGAAAGCCUUUCAGAUUGUAUUUGUCUACCGAUAGGAUGGUUAUCGGUUCGGCUUUGAUUCAAGAAUUUGAAGGGAAGGAAUGUGUGAUUUAUUAUUUGAGUAGAAGGCUGAUCGAUGCUGAGACCAGGUAUUCGGCAAUUGAAAAGUUAUGUUUAUGCCUAUAUUUCUCGUGUAUCAAGUUAAGGCACUAUUUACUAUCGGCUGAAUGCACUGUUAUAUGCAAAUAUGAUGUAGUCUGAUACAUGUUAUCUAUGCCGAUUUUGAGUGGUAGAAUCGGUAAAUGGAUUUUGGCACUGUCGGAAUUUGAUCUAUGUUACGAAUUGGCUAAGGCAGUUAAGGGGCAGGUACUUUGGAAAUUGUUCCUUGGACUCUCUUCUUUGAUGGAUCCACGUGUGACAGGGGGUAGGAAUCGGCAUAGUACUAAUCUCCCCUCAGGGAAGGAAGUAUGAGUUCUCUUUGCCAAUUGUUGCCAGGUCAACAAAUAAUGAAGCUGAAUAUCAAGCUUUGAUCAAAGGGUUUGAAUUAUUAAAACAAGUUUAGGCUGAUGCUGUUGAAAUCUUCGGAGAUUCUAUGCUUGUCAUAAAUCAACUGGCUGGAGUUUAUGAAUGCCGAAGCGAGGUCCUGAUAGCCUAUGAUGAAAAGAGUAUGCAACUAUUAAAGGAAUUCAAGGAUUUCCGAUUAGAUCAUGUUCCUUGGUUACAUAAUGAGGAGGCUAAUCGGUUGGCUCAGCACGCCUCGGGAUAUCAACCCAUAUUGAAUGUGUUAUCGGCAAUCAGUGCCGAUGAUUCGAGAAAGGAGAUCAUUGAUUAUUUAAGGGAUCCAUCUAAAAAGGUUGAGAGACGUAUCAGGUUUCAAGCUACCAAGUAUGUGCUCCUUGAGGAUGAACUAUAUUAUCGAACUGUAGAUGGAGUUCUUCUCAAAUGCUUAGGUAAUGAUGAAACUAAAAGUUUGAUGGGUGAAAUCCAUGAAGGAGUGUGUGGAGCGCAUCAGUCGGCUUUUAAGAUGAAAUGGAUGAUCAGGAGAAAUGGGUAUUAUUGGCCGACCAUACUUGAGGAUUGUUUUAAAUACUUCAAAGGAUGUCAAGGAUAUCAGAAAUUUGGCAAUAUUCAAAGGGCACCUGCAUCGGCCAUGAAUCCCAUUAUUAAACCUUGGCCAUUCCGGGGAUGGGCUAUUGAUCUAAUCGGCCAGAUUUACCGACCAUCGAGCAAAGGGCAUAAGUUCAUCUUAGUUGUCACUGAUUAUUUCACUAAGUGGGUUGAAGCUAUUCCUUUGAAGAAAGUUACAUCGACCAAUAUGAUUGAUUUUGUGAGAGAGCAUAUUAUUUACCAAAUUGGUAUUCCUCAAACGAUUUCUACUGAUCAGGGUACUAUGUUUACAUCAGGAGAGUUUGAUGAAUUUGCAAUCGGUAUGGGGAUUAAAGUGUUGAAUUCUUCUCCUUAUUAUGCUCAAGCCAAUGGGCAGGCCGAAGCGUCUAACAAAGGAAUUAUUAAACUCAUCAAAUGGAAGAUUGAAGAAAAUCCUAGGAGGUGGCAUACAUUGUUGAGUGAAGCUUUGUGGUCAUAUCGGAUGGCUUGUCAUGGGUCGACUAAAGUUUCACCUUAUGAGUUGGUGUAUGGACACGAUGCAGUGCUACCAUGGGAAAUUAAGACCGGAUCUAGGCGACUAUCUUUUCAAGAUCAGCUGACUGCCGAUGACUAUGCUACUUUGAUGAAAGACGAGUUAGAUGAUUUAGCAGGACAUCGGCUGAAGGCUUUGAUAAGUAUAGAAGAAAAUAAAAAGAGAGUUGCUAGGUGGUAUGAUAAAAAGGUAAAAUCUAAGGAGUUUGCUGAUGGGGAUUUGGUGUGGAAACUAAUUUUACCGAUUGGGACUAAAAGUUUGAAAUUUGGGAAGUGGUCUCCUAAUUGGGAAGGUCCUUAUCAGAUAAAUCGGUCUGCUCCUGGUAAUGCUUAUAUUUUGGAAACUCUCGAAGGAGUUGAAUUUUCCAGAGCAUUGAAUGGAAAAUAUUUAAAGAAAUAUUACCCUAGCAUAUGGGUCGAUGCAUGAAAGCUUAAGUGCCGAUAACAAUCCUAUCGGCUAGACCAAAAUAAUCAGGAGUUUUUAAAGAAAAAGCAAAACACACCGCCGAUGAAGAGUUCAUGCAUUCAGCAGGGCUUGGAUGGCAGAUAUAGUGCGCAGACGGAUUUGAUUGGCUUCUUCUAUCUCCUUGAUGUCUUCAUUGGCAGAGACUUCGACCGGUUUCAGCUUCUUCUUCAUCUGCAGUGCCUUGCGGGCUUGGAUGUUUCGCUCUUGUUCGAGGGUCUUGAUCAUUUCGGGCAGCUGACUUUCUUCCUGUUGAGCUUGGGACAGAGCCUCUUCCACUUGCUUAAGCUCUGGCAACAAGGCUUCCCUUUUGGCCGAUAGGUCAGAGAUCUUUUGUCUCAGCGUAUCUCCUGAGGAUUUUAGGAUGCCGAUGCUCUUGUGUUUUUCAUCGGCAAGGUGCUUCACUUUCAUUACUUCCUCCGAGAGUUGGGCAUGAGUGGCUCUAUCGGCAAGACGUUGAGCAGCCUUUUGAUACUAAAGCUGGCGGCUCUCUAAGUGUGCAGCCUGACAAGUCUCUUCGGCAUCGGCAGGGAUCUGACCUCUGAGAGCUUUGAAUAGAGCUUUUGCCGGAUCAGAGUCGUCGACUAAUUGAGCUGUAUCCUGAUGAUGUAGGGCCAGCAGAUCUUCCAGUUUAGCUCUGAUUUCUGUCGAUGAAAUCCCCACUGCUUGAGAAGAGCUUGCUUCCUCGCCUUCAUCAUCAGAAAUUUCAAUAGCAAAAGAGAACAAGAUGUCCGAAGAGUCUUGUUCCUGGAAAAGAAAAUAAAAUAUGUUAUUUGAUGAUCAAGUACUAGUGAUAAAAAUAGAGAUCAGGGCAAUUUCUUGUUUCAGGGCAAUUUCUCGCCUCUAGCUUGUUUCAGGCUUACUUGUUUCAGGGCAAUUUCUCGCCUCUAGCUAGCUGGGGCCGAUGGUACCACAGGUUGAUCGGCUGGAGUUGCCGAUUGAAUGAUGUCAGCUGAAAAUGAUAUAAUAGUAAUGGGUGUUACAAGUUUUAAAAAAAAACCAUCGACAAAUAAUCUUAUGGAUAGAACCUUACCUCGAGGGGGUACAGUGCUUGUCUGGAUUGAAGAGACUACCGAUGAUAUGAUUGAUCCCACUGGAUCGGCAGUCUACUCGAGUACAUCGGCAAAUAUCUCUUCUGGCCGAGGUACUUCUUGCGACUGAGGUGGAGACGAUGCUUGCUGUGUCUGAACUUCUGGUGAAGAAGGUGACGAUUCCACAUGAAUCGGUGACACUGGAGGAGGGGGAGAAGGUGUUGUUGUCUUCUAGCGUUUUGCUUGUGACUUGGUGCUUUUGGGGCCUUUCCUCUUAACAUUGUUAGACUAGGGGGCAUCGGCACUUGUCUUGGUACUUCUGGCCCUUGCCGAUUUGCCAUCUUGCUGAUGCAACAACAAAAGUUUCAUAAGCAACAAUGUAACGGAGUAUUGAUGAAAUUUUGGUUGAAACAGUGAAAGGUUACCGAUGAGGUUCCCAUAGCAGCCGAUGUAUCCUGAAAAGGUCGAGUGAGUAUGGAAUGGCAUCGGUGUCAAUUGAAGAAAUCAGGGAUUUACCUUGAAAGCUUGUGCCAGAGUAGUGGCAGCCACCGAUGGGGAUGUCUUUGCUCGUCUGGUGGUAAUCUUCUUGAAACGCACGUUCCUAUGCAUCAGAGCUGCCAGGGUCGGUGCGUUGUUACAGAUAAGGGAGAUCGGGCCUGAUGGAAGGAGUUCGAUUGGCUUUCCGCUCUUGCUGACUGUCGGUGGUGUAUCGUCAAUCUGUUUAAUAAAAGAGAAAAAAUGAGUUACCGAUAGAAAUAAAAGUAAUAGAAGAAGAUUGAAGCAUCGGUUGAAAACUUACAGUGUUCUCGGGGACUUUGUACUUGGGGUCGAUCAUGCCACGAUAUGUGAGGGCCGAUCUGCAGAACAGGUGCUCUUUCCAUUCUUCCCACCACUGUUUGUAUGAUUGAGUAAUGAAGAGAGCUGGGAUCCAAGCCUAUAGAUCGACAUCUGUAUCGGCAUUUGGUGGAAGUUGAGCUAUUCUGAUCCACUCGAGACCGCUGGUUAUGGUCUCCCUUGGUUUCACCACAUCGGCGUAGCAGAGUGCAAUCGGCAGCUGUCCAAAGGCUAGUUGGCGAGCUAGUGUCGAUGGGUUAUAGAACUCAUAGGUCAGAUUGGAGGCUUUCCCGCUACCAAAGAAGUUCACUGGUAUGGCUCUCAUAAUGAUAAUUGCCAUCAUCAGAUCAUGGUCCUUAUUGAGAGCAUCGUCAAAGGGGUGGAAAGUUAGUGGGAAUCUAGUUUCUAGAUCCUCAUAGGGCAUCCAUGCCCGCUGGUCUUUAGCCAGACCCUCAUAAAGAGUCUAAAAGAAUCGACUGACCUGAUCCUCAUUGCCACCAGUACCAGGUAAAACUAUGGCAGCUUCGCCAUAGUUCAGAGGGGAGCGAGUUGCCGAUUCUUCCUCGUCCAGCUCAUGAUCCUCGGCUAUAUCUCUAGGGAAGCACUAUGCAAAGAGGUUGAAUCCAAGGCGCUUAUGCAUGUGGACACUAAGCCACAUGUUGAUGAACCACCAGGGUAACCCUAAGUUGCCGAUGGGUUGGCCUAGCAGGAGUUUCUUAGCUACCUGAUGGAGGAGGUGAUAAACAAAACCGAGCAGGUAUCGGCCAAGAGGAAUCCAGCCACCAUUGGCCAGUCUCUCUGCUGCCGAUAGAUAGACAGAAGUUGGUCCCGCCGAUCGGCCACAAAAUACAAACUUAUCCAGCCACAUGUUCAAGAAAAUGGCCUAUUCUCUUUCCCCGACAGAUCCUGUUUUUCGGUACUUCUGAAUAUACCCAGACCAACCGCCGAUAGUGCGAGUCUCUACCUUAGAACUAGGCUUAUUAUCAAACAGAUGACUAUUAUCGGCAGUUGAUAUGUCUAAGCCGGUAAGCAUGAGUACAUCGGCAAGAGUAGGUGAAGCAGGGCCGUGGCCGAAUACAAAAGUGUUGAGCAUGUCUGACCAAAAGUACGAGGCAGAUAUCAGCAGCGACUCGUUCCUCUCCAUAUCGGCGAUAGAUAACCUGAUGCAUUGGUCUAAUUUCCGCUCACCCCAUUGGACUUCAUUUGAAUGGCUGACUCUCAGGAACCAGUCUUUCCCUCCCUUGGUAGGACUGGGCCAGGAACAGAAAGCAUCUUUCCAUAGAUCUAAGGAGAAGUUCUCGGCUCUAAAGGGGAUCCUAUUUGUCUCUGCGUUUAUCAGAUCGGUAGGAUCUAGGUUUCCCAAUGGACCGAGACAAUGGAAGUGAGGCUGAUCGGUAGGGAUCGCGAUCUUAUCGGCUAAUUUCUAAAGGAUUUAAAGAUUGGAAGAACAAAAAAAGGGGGGAGAAGAAAAAGGUACUCAGUAAAUAGAUUUGCAGAUGAACAGGAGUAUAGUAAAAGUAUAAAAGAAGGAUGGUAGGCUGACCUCAGGAACGACGAAGUUGAUGGCCAUUUCUUCCCGAGGAAGAGGAGAGAUCGAAGACUUGGAAGAUUGGUGGCGGAGGCCCUUGCUGGAGUUCUUGGAGUUCUCAGGCAAUGCCGCCGCCAGGAAGGUGGAUUUGAGGCUGUAGAAUGACAAAAUGGAGGAGGAGUACCAGAGAAGGAGGUAUUUAUAGGACAAAAAGGGCAAGGGCAAAUCUGACUUAUCUCUUUGCCGCAUCCGUGAAAUCCGAGGGUGUUCAGGUGGAAAUGGUAACUGUCCGCACAAUAAUUAAGGGAUUGUGCAGGUGAUUUGACAGUAGGCGGUGAAGAUAUCUUACUGUACAAGAUCGCUUGGUCGGUCCAUCGGUAGUCCUGUCUAAUGGUAAUAUUGCCGAUAAGCACAUUCUGGGGAGAUUCGGUUCGGAAAGUUGAGGAAUUCGAGGAACCUACAGAAGAAUCGGGUUGAGGUUGUUUAGAUUUGGCAGCUGAUUACCAAAUUGGGAGAAGUAAUUGCGGAAAGGCGUCAUUACUGAGGAGAAUUUCGGAGUAUUAAUGAUUUUAUACUCCAAAAUUGGGGGGCAUGUGUUGACGCCAUUUUCAGACACGUGUCUUUGGAUACGCACUUGGAGUUAAUGAAGUGAAGAUCGGUAAAUGGGGCGAUGGUGACCAGUCUACACGGGAGUUACCGAUGGAGGUUGGUACCGAUGGGAGAGCAACGGAAUUUGACUAAGUCUAGGAAGUAGUAACGGGAUCGUGCCAAUGACUAGCGCUGAUGGCUGCCGAUGAUGGUGAAAGGCGGUCUGCCGAUGGUCGUGGAGGAAGAUGCAGGGGUUGCUGAUUGACUCGUGGCAGUGUACCGAUCGGUUACGGGGGAUAAUUUAAUGUUUUCCUUAGUUAUUAGGAUUCGUUUUGUAUAAGGAUUCCGUUUAAUUUGGAAUUCGAGUUCUAGUCAUGUCUAGUCAAAGCUCUUCGGACAGGGUAUAAAUUUAGACCCUAGGGCAAUGUAAUGAGACAUCUAUCAAUCAAUCAAACACAAGUUUUUACUCAUAUUCCAGCAUCUAAUUUUUCGACGACUUUGUUAUAUUUUCCUUUUUUACGAGUUCUUAGGAAUUCGUCGGGUCAAACUCGGCGCGUUCUCAAGUUCCGCGUCAGCACCUCUUGGCCGUGACAUCCGGGCGCAUCGCUGUUGUCGGGACCAAAGUGUUCGAGUUACCACCUUUGUCGAUUGUAAGGUCAAAUCGGCUGGCACACCUUAACGUUUGAAUCGGGUAUUAGCCCUUUGUGUUUGCAGAUCAGCUUUUGCAUCAACAGGAGUUGUCGACGAAAGCUAGUCGGCAGUCUACCUUGGGGUAUACCCAGGGUAGUAGUUUAUCGGUAGAUAGGUGCGCAAGCUACAAAUUUGAUGGUGACGCAAAACACAGACAAGGUUUUUAUCCAGGUUCGGCCGCCGUGUGGGCGUAAUACCAACGUCCUACGUCUGAUUGUAUUGUUGCGGGUUGAAUUGGGUUGAGUUGAGAUGAGUUGUCUUGGGGGAUCCCUUGCCUCUCUUUAUAUAGUCCAGAGGACUGGGUUACAGAUCUUGGAAACUAAUCCUAGUCGGUUACAAUUGCCAUAGAUAAUACUAUAUCAAUUCCUAUUCUAACCGACUAGAAUCUGGCUUGAUCUCCACGUCCUGUUUCCUUGCGCGAAACUCCGAGCAGUUGGAUCAAGUCACGAACUCGCCUCGUAAUGGGCCAAGCCUCCUGGCCCAAGUCUAGCCGUAAGGGUAUAGGGGUUUAUACCCCCAUAGCUAGUCCCCGAGCACCAUGUAUUGUGAUGUAACACGCCGUCUUGAGCUUCUUCGACUAGUGAGGCUUGACGUCUUCGAUAAGUAGGAAAGUCGUCCAAACAGUUGCCACGGUACUUUAACCAACACAAAGGACAGUUGAUCAACAUCGACAUCGAAGAAGCAGGUUGUUCGAAGAAUGCAUGGUGCUCUUAAUCAAAAAAGAUUUCUUUCCUGAUGAAGUGUGCCAACUUUACUUUUCUGAAAAGUAUAGACUUCAAAAAACCAAGCAUAUUCACCGUAAGGUGAAGUGUGCCCACUUAGUCCCCGAGCCUAGUAGUAGGUGACGUAGGCACGUGGUGCCAGGGUCUAAAGAGAAAAAAAAACAUAGAAAAUCUGAUACUGUAAUGCAUCGCCAGAUGCAUCGUACCGAUGUAGUCCCUAAGCUUGCUGGAAGGCGAAGUAUGAACCUUGUAGCAAGGUCUAAAAAGUUAUCUGAUUAGACGUUAUGCAAUUGAAUUUUCCAAGCCGAGAACGUGUUACACUCAUUUGCGACUUAGAGAACCUUCCAACCAGUCCCCGAGCAUGUCAUGCUCGGUGGUCGGUUCGGUCCCCAGAUUGUCAAAUGGUCAAACUGGUCGACCAAUCCCCGAGCAUAUCAUGGUCGGCGGUCGGUACAGUCCCAGAUUGUCUAAUGGGCGAACUGGUCGACCGGUCCCCGAGCAUAUCAUGUUCGGUGGUCGGUACAGUCCCUAGAUUGUCUAAUGGGCGAACUGGUCGACCAGUCCCCAAGCAUAUCAUGUUCGGUGGUCGGUACAGUCCUCAAAUUGUCUAAUGUGCGAACUGGUCGACCAGUCCCUGAGAAUAUCAUGUUCGGUGGUCGGUACAGUCCCCAGAUUGUCUAAUGGGCGAACUUGUCGACCAGUCCCCGAGCAUAUCAUUGUUCGGUGGUCGAUACAGUCCCCAGACAUAUCAUGUUCGUCCGGCCAAAGAUCCCACUUAUCUUUUGAAAAAGAAUCGUAUCGCCAUAUUAAUAUGCGAUGUGACGGGGCAUCCUGUCAUCUUGUCAGUCUGUUGCAUAAAAAGGAGUGCCUGGUAACUGUACAGCCGCUCUUCGCGUGGAUCAAGAAGAGGAAACCAGCAAUCAUUUAGAAAGGCUACCAAAUUAACUGUGAUAAUUCUUGAAAACCGAAACGCCACAACUUCCGCGAGAUCUGCCCACUUCCCCAAAAGGCAGGAAGUGGAAAAGGUGGGUUUGCUGUUAUAAAUGGCCCGAUGUUGCGUCCAUGUUCUUUACCCAAUAGUUGCAUAGUAGCCUCCUGCCUUUGGCACUACUGCCUCCUGCCUUCACCGUCCUCAGCACCCCCAAAUGCUCAACACCCAGUUCAAAGCUUGUCCUGCUGCGACAAUGACGAAGAGUGAUUCGAAGAAAAGGGCCGAUACGAUGGCCAAAGAGUGGAAGAAGUCUCGGUGCACCACGAGGUACCUCAACGACCUCGUCGGAAUGGGGCUUCUGCACAACCAGGAACUCGGCGGCUGGAGGGCACCAGAAGGAGAGAGUUACCCUGACCCCCGCGCCGGUGAGAUCGUAGUCUUUGAGGAUUAUUUCAAAACGGGAUUUGGGGUUCCCGUUCAUCCUUUUCUUCAGGGUCUUCUUCUUUACUAUGAGAUCGGGAUUUGCAAUCUGCACCCGAACUCCAUUCUCCUUGUCUCCACCUUCAUUCAUUUGUGCGAGGCCUAUGUUGGGAUAGAGCCGCACUUCAAUCUCUUCCACUAUCUGUUCUGUUUGAGAUAAAAGGGAGCAGUUGGAGGCUCCAAGAUUGCAGGUGGAGUAUACCUCAAUCUUCGCAAUGGAAUGAAGAACCGUUACCUCAGCUGCCCAUGGAACACCUCCCUCACCGAAUGGUACAAGAGGUGGUUCUACAUUAGGGAGGAGCCAGGCAGCGCCACAUUCUGCGACGUCGGCUACAUUUCCGAUAAGAGGGUUAGCUGGACAGAUCGGCCAGAGUACACUGGUUAGGUAUCAGAGCUGAUGAGCAUGAUCGACUGGUCCCGCCUAGAUGGACCAGGGGUGGUCGGGAAUUUUCCUCGCCCGACGAGUGAUGCCCUGCCAGAGAAGGGUACACACCGCGUAUGAGUACCAAGGCGGGCAGGAUUCGACCAAGCUACGCCCAGAGAACUUUGAGAAAUCGGAGAUCCAGCAAAGGAUUAAUGAGCUGUUCAACUUGGGCGACAGCAGCUUCGUGAGAAGCGACAACCCAAUGCACGCCUAUAAGCUGGGAUGGCCAGCUCCCAAGGUAAUUGAAGUCUUUUCGCAACAUUCCAAAAUCAUGAUAUUCUUGUGCUAAUGAUUUGCCGUGCUCUUGUCGUAGAUUGGAGCCGUUGACCGGGCGAUAGUGUACAUGUCACUGGCGACGGUAUGGAUCCUCCAACAAUCAGUGCUGCUCGGUGUGAUCGAUACACCAGCAGCGACGAGGAGGGGAGUCAUCGAGCGCCGACCACCGACGAAAGGGUGGCCGGCAAGAGGCUGAUGGCUGAGGAGCCCUCUGCGGUAGAGGCGAUGCCGGCAGCCGCACGUCCCAUAAUGGGCCAGGGGUCGACCUCGGACAUCUGGGCGCCCAAGCGUCGCCGUCUUGUCAGAAUUGUUGAUGACGACGAGGAGAAAGAAGAGGCGGCCCCAACUUUGGUCCGUAGACCCUGCAGCCACCCGGAUGUCGCCCCGGGCGACGGAGGUCGAGUUGCUAGAGAUCCGCUUGCCGCGCAUGUCGAGCAGGCACGACUAGGGGCGGCUGAGGCAGCAGCGACGACCGGAAGAGCUAGGAGAAGGUUCUUCACUGCGGCGCACCGAAGCCACGAUCUGUAAGUUCAAAAAGGUGUCUUUUCGCUCUCUCUUUUUUACGAAGUUUGAGGUCAUUAUGGUAAUUUGCAUUAACUCUUCUUUGUAGUGCUACCUCGGAUGUUGAUCUGGGCAACGUUGCCGGCUUGACGACAACCGAGCCAGCAGUAGCCGAUGAUAAUGCCACCGAGUAGACUGUCCGCGAGCAGCCCAUAGAGCUGCCCGCAGUUGUGGCUGCGGCAAAGGUUGCCGAGGAGGACCCGGCCCAAGACAAGGCUGGGGCGAGCACCUCGACAAGGGGCGACGAGACCGCAGGGACACCUCCCCCGAGUAGCAUGGUGGAGGAGGAAGACAAGGUCCCAUCUCCCUCUCCUGCUGAAGAAGAGAGGACAGUUGAUAUUUGUUAACGCCAUCUCGAAAUGAUCCGCAAGCGCACGGAUAUCGGUGAGCACUUCACCCGGGAGGUUAUCCAGAGUACCGUAUUUAUAUUUUUACCACUGGGAGAAAGCGUGCAUCUGACUAACCCAAUCUAUUGCUACUAUCCUUUAGGCUACAAAGAAUGUGACUCGAUGUGAGUGAUGUAUAGAGAAGACUACAACUGCACUCUCAUUCUAACCUUGGUAAGGAUGAUCUACUGUUCUGUUGGGGGAGCUCACGGAAUCUAGACACCACAGAGGAUGUUCAACCCACACCUAUAAACCCUAUCGAUCCUACUAAUGGGAUAUGGGCUGCAAAGGUAACUCGGAAAUGUCACGUUCCUUGCUACUACCACGGUCCAGCUAGUCAGGGGAUAUCUAUGAGUAUCCUAGCCCAAACACCACGUUUAUGCCAGAGAUGAUUACUCUAAACUCUACGCGAAGAGAUCAAAGUAAACUCAUAAACCAAAGAACAAUAAAACAAGAACUUACUAGAAUUUAGAAGUCGAAAUACUGAAGAAUCCUAGGAGCAAGCCUCGGGUUUGGAGAACUUGAUCCCGCAGGUACAACCUCGAAGUAGACACCGACAGGCCAGGCUUCCUCCGAUCUACACAUCCACUCUAUCUCUCUCAAUCUAGUAGAUCUAGUCUAUUUUCAGAUUGGAUGCUAAGCCCUAAGUCUAUUUAGAGGAAAGGUUAUCCUUCGAGGGCACCUCUCAACUCUAUGAUGAACUUGUUCUCUUCCAGGGGCCAGGGUGUCUGCUUAUAUAGUCCCCUCAGGUGAAUGUGGGCUGUCGGAUCAAACCGACAUUGAUUGAAUGGUUAUCCUUGAUCCUUUAGGUCGGUGGAGCAUAAUCUGCGAGACGGGAUUUGAUUGGUCUCUCAAACAGGGCGGGCACCCAAGGGGGAAGGGCGGGCGCCCUGCCCCCGGGCCCGAUCGCCUUCCCGUUCAUUCCUGUGGCUUCUGGAGUCUUCUAGAUGAUAGAAAAUUGUGCGGCAUGUUAAUAUCUCUAUGUAAACCCGACGUGUGGGCCUUUCUUCCAUAUUUCCUGAUAACCCCCUACAGAAAAAGACAAACACCAAAAAUCGUGGAAUUCAGUCAGAUAAAACCCUAAGUCUGGGUGUUGGUUGUAUUUGGAUCCUUUUCUUUGUUUAUUUGAUGAUUAUAUUUGGUACUUAAGGACCGUCAACAACUCCCCCAAGCUUACCUCUUGCUCGUCCCUGAGCAAGGAUGGACUCAAGAGUUUCUGCAGUGGUUUCAUGCCUUACAAGUACACAUGCGUUCAAGCAAGAUCUCAUCUCUGAGUUAGAGUAAACUGUUAAGACUUAAAACUUACUCAUUUUACCUUUCACCAUGGGGCUUGCAACCAUCACUUGUGACUUGAGGAGUAAAAAUAUAGAACAGUCUAGUCAAGCGCCAUGUCUCUUAUUCUUGAUCAGCUAUAGCUCUGGAGUUUUUGCAGAUUUUCAAAUAAAACUCAGAGAUUCCUUGUAUGCCUAUCGCAAAUCUCUCUUUUGUGGUACUUCUGGAUCCUUUCCAAGGCAGUAAUGGUAUAUGCCUUCUCUCAAAGUGUGUGGUAUUUUUGGUAUGAGGUAUAGUGAUAUUGCCUUCUCUCUCUCCCUACUCUAAUAAGGUUUUGAUAUCUGGAGCUUAUAGGUGGGAGAUAGAUAAUACAUACUUACAAGACAUUUAUUGCAUAGUCAAACCAUGGAUCCUAAAGAACAAGUCAAUAAGUCAAAUCAAGAUGUGCAUGUGUGGCGAGUGAAUGGUGUAUGGUGAUGAUGGUGAUAACAAUGGUGAAAGUCUAAUUCUACUUGUGCUCUUUUGAGGGGAUACAUACCUUUCUUGCACUUUGAAGCUUCUUGAGGGGAAUGAGAUGCUCCAUAUUUUUUUCUUUUUUCUCAGGUGGGUAUCUUGUACCCCUAAUUCUACUGUCGGACACUUGUCCAAUUUUACCUCUCGUCUCAUUUUUUCUUUUCUUCGAGGUUCCGGGCACUUGCCCCUUUUUAUUUCCUCGUAUUUAUUAUUAUUAUUAUUUCUUUCUUUUUUCAGAGCACUCGCCCUCCUAGAAUAAUGUAGCAAGUGGUAGUAACCAAAAUAUCUCGAGUAUUUAUUUUACAAGGAAAAACAGAAAUAACAGAAUAUUUUUGGCUAUUCUCUCCCGGAUUAGGAGUAGAAUACUUUUGGGUGGCUCUGGAGAUGGAAAUGAGUGGAUAUAUGUGGAUGCGUACUUCCGGAGCAGAAGUAACAUGUAUGAGUGAACGUGCAAGUGAAUCUUGAUUUUAACCGCAUGACAAGCUCCUAAGGGUCUACACAGCUCGACCACACUCAAUGCUCAUAAGCAGUAAAAAGUAAAUGUAUGGCUCAAAGUCUAAUAAGCAUGUAUAUAUGGCUGUGGUAGGAAUUUAAACUCUCAUGAUACAGGAACUCAUCAUGUGUUAUUUUAAAGAUUUUCAAAGAUAAAAUUCUCUAGAACUCUAGCAUCUCUAGGAACAGAUAAACAGCAGCUCAACCUUCCCAUAUCAUAUCCGUUAUCUACUUAGACUUUGAUAAGGUACUCUUCCCACAAGUUUAGGUUUAGAGCAAGCUUUAAAUUAUAAUAGUUAUGCCUAAACUUGAGAGAGCUCAAACUUGAAAACUAGGUACAUGGCAGAGCAACUAUUUAUCAUAUCCAUGUAAGAGUUUAUCAUCAGGGUUUAUAGCAAACUUUAUUUAUUUACGUAUUUAGCAAACUAAGCAAAGAUAUAUAUAAGCACAAAUUUUUUAUUUGGGUUUUCAUGAUUAUGCAUCUUUUUAUUAUUUGAGUACAGUAUAAACGCGAGUAGAAACACUUAGCUGGAUAAAUGGAGGUGCCCUCCCCCAAGCUGGAUUUUGACGUAAUUUCUUCUGAUGUAGCUAGCAGGUGACGGAGGUGUAUCUCAAUGUCGGCAGCACCCUGACAGCGAUUAGGAUGUCCUCCGUCUGCUAGUCUUCUUUGAUCCUUGAAUUCUCUGGAGCUCAAAUAGACAACAAAACUUUGUGGAACUGGUUAAGUGUUAGCAUAAAAUCUCUUAGCCUUUCUCAUAUUGAGAUUCCUCCUAAUAAAUGUUACUCUCUUUAGUAGGAUUAUAAAUUUAUUUUUUUUCAUUUUUAUAGGACAGGAAUAUAUUUAUUUUAUUUUUACGCCACCACAGUGAAUGUACUUAUGGGUUUUAUGCCAUGAGCAUACUCACAUGGGGCUGAUACUGAUAGUUGCCGAUGGCUACGAAAGGUGAUUUGCCGAUGCACACAAAAGGAGGCGCAGGAAUUGUCGGUCGGAUGGUGAUGGUGUGCCGAUCGGUUGUGGUGGAUAAAUUAAUGUUUUCCAUAGUUGUUAGAGUUUGCUUUACAUACGGAUUCCAUUUGAUUUGGAAUUAGAGUUCUAGUCGUGUCUGAUUGUAACUCUUUUAAACAGGGUAUAAAUGUAGACCCCGUAGCAAUGUAAGAAGACACACAAUCAAUCAAACACAAGUAUUUACAUCUAUUCCAGCAUCUACUUUUUCGACGACUUCGUCAACCUGCGUAUUUUCCUUUUACUUACAAGUUCUUAGGAGUUCAUCGAGUCAAUCUCGACGAGUUCUCGAGUUUCGUGUGAAUACAUCUUGGCCGUG
rnacentral:lncRNA from 1 species